GCCUCAUUAGCUCAGUGGUUAGAGCACUGGUCUUGUAAACCAGGUGUCCAGAGUUCAAUUCUCUGAUGGGGCU
rnacentral:tRNA from 1 species